CUUGGUCAUUUAGAGGAAGUAAAAGUCGUAACAAGGUCUCCGUAGGUGAACCUGCGGAGGGAUCAUUACAAGUGACCCCGGUCUUACCACCGGGAUGUUCAUAACCCUUUGUUGUCCGACUCUGUUGCCUCCGGGGCGACCCUGCCUUCGGGCGGGGGCUCCGGGUGGACACUUCAAACUCUUGCGUAACUUUGCAGUCUGAGUAAACUUAAUUAAUAAAUUAAAACUUUUAACAACGGAUCUCUUGGUUCUGGCAUCGAUGAGGAACGCAGCGAAAUGCGAUAAGUAGUGUGAAUUGCAGAAUUCAGUGAAUCAUCGAAUCUUUGAACGCACAUUGCGCCCCUUGGUAUUCCAUGGGGCAUGCCUGUUCGAGCGUCAUUUCACCACUCAAGCCUCGCUUGGUAUUGGGCAACGCGGUCCGCCGCGUGCCUCAAAUCGACCGGCUGGGUCUUCUGUCCCCUAAGCGUUGUGGAAACUAUUCGCUAAAGGGUGUUCGGGAGGCUACGCCGUAAAACAACCCCAUUUCUAAGGUUGACCUCGGAUCAGGUAGGGAUACCCGCUGAACUUAAGCAUAUCAAUAAGCGGAGGA
rnacentral:rRNA from 1 species